rnacentral:rRNA from 1 species
GACGAACGCUGGCGGCGUGGAUUAGGCAUGCAAGUCGAACGGUAUCAUCCUUUCGGGGGUGAGAGAGUGGCGAACUGGUGAGUAACACGUAGGUUAUCUACCCUCAAGACGGGGACAACCCAGGGAAACUUGGGCUAAUACCGGAUGUGAGCAACUUUUAGUUGUUUGAAAGGUGGCGUAAGCUGUCGCUUGGGGAUGAGCCUGCGUCCUAUUAGUUAGUUGGUGAGGUAACGGCUCACCUAGGCAAUGAUAGGUAGGCGGCCUUAACGGGUCGUCGCCCACACUGGGAUUGAGAUACGGCCCAGACUCCUACGGGAGGCAGCAGUCGAGAAUAGUCUAUAAUGGUCGGAAGACUGAUAGUGCGACGCCGCGUGAACGAUGAAUCCCUUCGGGGUGUAAAGUUCUUUUAUAUGUGAGCAGUGCUUCUUAUAUUAACAGUAUGGGGAGAGAGAUAUUAGCAUAUGAAUAAGCAACGGCUAACUCCGUGCCAGCAGCCGCGGUAAUCU